CCUACGGGAGGCAGCAGUGAGGAAUAUUGGACAAUGGGCGCAAGCCUGAUCCAGCCAUGCCGCGUGCAGGAAGACGGUCCUAUGGAUUGUAAACUGCUUUUAUACAGGAAGAAACACCUCUACGUGUAGAGGCUUGACGGUACUGUAAGAAUAAGGAUCGGCUAACUCCGUGCCAGCAGCCGCGGUAAUACGGAGGAUCCAAGCGUUAUCCGGAAUCAUUGGGUUUAAAGGGUCCGUAGGCGGCCUUAUAAGUCAGUGGUGAAAUCUCCUAGCUCAACUAGGAAACUGCCAUUGAUACUGUAGGGCUUGAAUUAUUAGGAAGUAACUAGAAUAUGUAGUGUAGCGGUGAAAUGCUUAGAUAUUACAUGGAAUACCAAUUGCGAAGGCAGGUUACUACUAAUACAUUGACGCUGAUGGACGAAAGCGUGGGGAGCGAAC
rnacentral:rRNA from 1 species